UACGUAGGGUGCGAGCGUUAAUCGGAAUUACUGGGCGUAAAGCGUGCGCAGGCGGUUUGCUAAGACCGAUGUGAAAUCCCCGGGCUUAACCUGGGAACUGCAUUGGUGACUGGCAGGCUAGAGUAUGGCAGAGGGGGGUAGAAUUCCACGUGUAGCAGUGAAAUGCGUAGAGAUGUGGAGGAAUACCGAUGGCGAAGGCGAGUCUCUGGACAUUUCCUGACGCUGAGGCACGAAAGCCAGGGGAGCAAACGGG
rnacentral:rRNA from 1 species